CUCCUCCUCCACUCUCAGUGUCUCUGAUAGUGUUGAUCUCUGCUGCUGCUGGAUCUCUGUUGAUUAUAGUUGCAGUCGUGAUCUGCUGCAUCUGCAGGAAACGUAAAAAAUUAGUUCAAACCCAGGCGAAAGACAUGAAGGAUUCUGCAUUGUGUAAACCAAUAAGACGAAAAAAGAAAUCAAAGGAGGACAUUUAUGAAAAUAUCAACCCAAAAUGCUGAUCAAAUACAACAUCUCUGCCAGGAUGUUUUUCUUCUGACUCUGGUUUUCUUGA